rnacentral:tRNA from 1 species
GGGCCGGUAGCUCAAUUGGUAGAGCGUUCGCAUGGCAUGCGAGAGGCAACGGGUUCAAAUCCCGUCCGGUCCA